GGGCUAACUAAAGAGGUGAGGGGUAAAAAGGCCAGGAGAGAGAGGGGGAGAGAGAGAGAGAGGGAGAGAGGGAAACAGACAGAGCGAGAGUCCACAAAUGGAGCAAAGGUUACAUUUAUCAAACCCUUGUGUGUGACCACCUUGACACGUCUCUGUGAAUGUGUUGGUGCUUGUGGUUCGUACAUUUUUAUCUUCCUUGUUUUUUAUUUAGUGAAUAGAAACACAGAUUCAUUCUCUGUGUAAAGUGUAAUGAAAUAGCGACCAACUGACAUGCGCGCUUCCAAUUGUCCAGCGUUUCUAUUUAUUUUGAUACAAAAAUGCACCAACUUGACUUUUUGUUUGUAGUUUGAAUCAAAUGUCGUCCUCAAUUUCCUUCCUUGUCAGCUGACCAAAGAUUUAACCAAACUUUCAUUGUUAACCAGAAAUUGUAACUUCUUGAUACGUUUAUUGUUUUGCCUCUGAGUACAAAAACGGACAAACACUUUUUUGCACAACUUAUAGUCACGUUUCUAAAUACUCAAGAUUAGAUGAGAUCUCUCUGUUCCAAGCACGCAUCUGGGCCCUCAUGGCCAUCGGGGAAGUCGCUCAUUAGUUUUGUGCACCUUUUUUUACGUGAAAUCUUUGACUUUGACAAAUCAAAUUAUCAAUGUACUGUGGACUAUCAGUGUACUGUGUAUUGUAUGUGUAGACAAAUGGAAACCGGGGUUAAUAAAGUUGAAAUAUAUAUAUAUAUAUAUAUAUAUAUAUAUAUAUAUAUAUAUAUAUCCUCAAGCCAAUUGUUUUUUUGAAAAGCAUAAAUAUCUACUGAGUUUUUUUACAUUACAUUACAUUAUAUGUAUAUUACUACCACUCUGUUGACAUUUCAUUAUUCUUUAUCCUUGAUAAAUAUGAAUUAACAUAUAACUCAUGUCGAAGUCUAUGUUUUACCUAAAUUGAUGAUCUAAGAUUUAAGAAUAUUCUCAGUUGAAUCACCAUGUCUCAGAGGGCGGGGAAUAACAUUCCAACUAAUGAUAGCACAGUUGGAAUCUGAUUGACUCAAGCAGCAGGAAGUAAGAACGAAAAUGCAAUUCCGAUUGACCCAAUGACAUCUUUCCACAUUUAGUCUCGCCCUAAUAUCCUGAAUAGUAACGAAAUAAACUCUGAAUCUUAUUUA